GUGUUACUUAUACGAAAAUAUUUACAGUUUCUUUGCUGCAAAAAUCUCUUCAAUAGGAAGGAGAGUAAGUCAAAAACACAUACAUAUAAGUCUAGGUAUUUAUGACUAGUUAUAAACACGUCAACCCAGGUAUCCUAAUGUGGGGCUAUAACUAUACUGCAAGCGACCCAGGCUGUCCGCCCCAAUGAGGCAGUAAUGGCUGGCGGCCAUUGCUAAGACUAGGAUUCAUUUCCCUUGCCGAUUAAGGGCAUGUUUGGCAAAAAGGAGAUUAAAGUUGUAUAAAUAUCAAGAAAAUACAGAAAUUGAGUGUCAUGUCCAGUUGAAUCCCAGCAAAAAAUGUUGGCAUUGUAUACUGUUGCUUUGCGUGGGUGCUCCAAAAGAAUUUUGAAAGAAAAAUGUCUUGGAGAGAGGGGACCCGAGUUUUAGGACAUCGAGUUAAACACAACUUAUAGAGUAGAUUAAAUUAAUCACAUUUUCACUGCUAGCGAGACUAAAUCAGUUAGGGUAUCUAUGUUUAGCUGUAACCCCUUCACACAGGGUGACUGAAUCAUCGAAUUAAGGGUAAGAAAGAAUUAUAUAAUGAUUUGUCCUCUGUUUCUCCUGUACCUAUGGGGAGACACUUCCCUGCGACCAUGUUUUGCUGCCAUAGGCAAACAAGAAACUGGAGGCCCUCCUGCAGAAAUGUAGGGAAAGACUGCGUACAAUAGACCCAAAUAGGUCGGACCCUUCCCCGGACCCUGCGCAAGCGGGGGGCGGCAUGUACUGGGGACUGAGCUGGAUUUCACCACGGUCAAGGGGUGAUCUUUGCAUCUUACUGAAGAAUAUGCUGGCUGCAAUCAAAACAUUGUGUCUGGCAGAACAAGUAACCAUCAAAACUUUGAAAUGCGAAGGAAAUCAACCUGGGGAUACUUUACCUGCAAAAUAGAUCAAAGGAUAUUAGAGGAGUAGAAGCCAAUUAUGCUUUGAAGCUUGCGGACAACCCUCAAAGAGAUUUAAGUUGGAUGAAUACGAAGUAGCAAUGCUGGGUAAAAAGCGAGCCAGGCAAACUGUGGUAAUUAAUGAUGAGGACGCAAAGCAAGCUGGCAUAAUGACUACAUCAACACCCCAGGAGAGUCUCGUGGUGCUGGUGAAGGAGAUGCAGAAACACAAAACCAGCUGGUCAUCAGGGACCAGCGGCAAUUUGAAAUGAUGGGUUCAGAAUGAAGUGCCGGCCCGAGUGACCAAAAUGAUGAAUGCAAUGGUGUUGUCAAACAGAUGAUGGUCUGACCAGUCUCUUAUCAGAGAGCAGAUGUAACAGGACUGAGCACUGCAGAUCAGAAACGAGCCAACAGGAGGUCUCUUUGUUUCCAAGAGACAAGCUUCAGUAACUAAUACACAGUAUCAUGACACAUCUAUUGAACCACUUCUACAGGAAGUGACAAGUGAUAAGUUCUGGCACAAUCCAGCAGCGAGACUAAUGUUCUGGGGAAACUGCAACCUCAAAGCACCUGGUAUCUAACUGGUCUUGGUUCUCUUGCAACAACACAAAGGGAGUAUGUAGCGUUGCAUGCAUUCCCCCAUCUUAAUGUGCAGGUGAUACUUAGCCAAGUCCAACGGAUGAGAUGGCAACACAGCGGAGGAGGCAACAUCAAAGACGGAGGAUCCUUCCUUCCCCGCGAUGACGACGAAGGGGCGAUGAGGAAGCAACAACGAUAACUUUCCUUAGACGAAGAAGCAGCCUGAAACAACCUGAAACACUUUUGGCUAACUCAGCGUGCUCAGUCAACAUCAUUACAAUGAAACCACCUUUAGUUCUUCCCAAAACUGCCGAGGGCCACAUUGAUCCAGUUUUUGUAUAAGUUCAAGGUGUAAAUGAUCCGGUCUUAGAGUUCAGGGGAUAUUGAUCCAUCAGAAGGGUUUUAGGGAGAAAACUAUACUUUCUUGAUUUUUUUUUGAGGAACUCUCUAUAAUCUAUCUAUAUCUACAUC